rnacentral:tRNA from 1 species
GCCGCCUUAGCUCAGUCGGUAGAGCGAUUCACUCGUUGAGGUCAGGAGUUCGAUUCUCCUAGGCGGCUCCA